AUGCGUGGCCUCGCCGACGAGCUAGCAGCUGCUGGCAAGCCUCUAGAUGAGGACGAACAGAUCUCCUACAUCAUCGCCGGGCUGGGUAUGGAGUACCAGCCAUUGGUGUCGGCCCUCGACGCCCGCACCGGCCCUGUCACGCUCGAUGAUCUAUUCGCUCAGAUGAGCAACUUUGAUCAGCGUGUGGCGAUGUUCCAAGGCAGCAACGGCAGCAGCUUCAAGUCCUCCGCCAACGCUGCUGUUCGUGGUGGCCGUGGUGGCUCCCGCUACCGUGGUCCGCCGUGCGGCAAGGGCAAGGGCAGCGGCGGCGGAAACUACAGCAACAACAACGGUGGCGGUGCCCCUCGCACCGGUGCCGACGGACGGCCCUCCUCCAACAACAACAGGGGCCGCCGUUCCUCCUCCAAGAAUCGUCCCGACGCUGUCCGCUGUCAGAUAUGCGGUAAGCUUGGCCACACCGCCAAAGACUGCUGGUACAGGUUCGAGGAAGAUGAAGGUGACUCCUCCCAGGACGAAAAAGUUGCUGGUGCUGCCGAAGCUUCAUACGGUGUAGAUACCAACUGGUACAUGGGUAGUGGUGCUACAAACCACAUCACCGGUGAGUUGGAGAAAGUAACCAUGCGGGAGAAAUACCGUGGUCAAGACCAGAUCCACACCGCCAGUGGAGCAGGAUCAGGCAACGAAGAAGGUUCUCUACCGAGGUAG
rnacentral:rRNA from 1 species